UACGGAGGGUGCAAGCGUUGUCCGGAUUUAUUGGGCUUAAAGGGUGCGUAGGCGGCCCGUUAAGUCAGUGGUGAAAUCCCAGGGCUCAACCCUGGAACUGCCAUUGAUACUGACGGGCUUGAGUUCGGUUAAGGCGGGCGGAACUGGUGGUGUAGCGGUGAAAUGCAUAGAUACCACCAAGAACCCCGAUUGCGUAGGCAGCUCGCUGAGCCGAAACUGACGCUGAGGCACGAAAGCGUGGGGAGCGAACAGG
rnacentral:rRNA from 1 species